CUUGACACCCAUAAGAGGUCCAGCCUGCCCAGUGACUCUGUUCAACGGCCGCGGUAUCCUAACCGUGCGAAGGUAGCGUAAUCACUUGUUCUUUAAAUGAGGACUAGUAUGAAUGGCACCACGAAGGUUAUACUGUCUCCUUUUUCUAAUCAGUGAAACUAAUCUUCCCGUGAAGAAGCGGGAAUAAAAAUAUAAGACGAGAAGACCCUAUGGAGCUUUAAACAAACAUACAACUGCCUUCUUUUUAGAUAUUUCAGAAGAAAACCUUUAUUUAGGCAUUUUGAUAUAGAGUUUUAGGUUGGGGUGACCACGGAGUAAAAAACAACCUCCGCAAUGAAAGGGGCUCUUCCCCUAAGCUAAGGGCUACAACCCUAAGAAUCAAAAAAUUGACACCAAUUGACCCAAUAUACUUGAUCAAUGAAC
rnacentral:rRNA from 1 species